CUGAAGAAUGAGUGUCAGAGGAGAUAAUAACAACCAUUAAGUUCAAAGUAUAGCACAAUUUAUAUUCCAUAACCAUGCAGGGUGAUUUUAAAUGAUAGGUUUGAUUUUAAUACUUAGAGUGAAUGAGGCAAAGUAAAAAUCUUGUCUGCCUUAGGAUUGGUGUUAUCUAUGGAUGAAAACAUACCACUUAUUACUAUACCACUCAACCAAGACAUGUGGAAACUCAGCUUGAAGUGACUACAUGGCCAUUUAAAUUUGAUCCAAUGGAGGGACAGCAGAUAGUCCUCCUGGUAGAACGUUAAAUAGAUUGCAAUUUGUAUCACUAGGGCAGAUUGCAUUGUUAAUUGGUGGCUCACCUACUGCUAGCUCUAACUAUCAUUUUGUUCACUGCUUCUGUUUUCACACACAGGUAGAUAGUGGAAAGUGGGCACGGCUGCAGAGCAAACAUUUUAUUCUGAACUGCAACAGAAUGGACAUCACCUGAUUAAUCAGCAUUUAUUGCCAUUGAACAGAAUACUUCAACGGGCUAUUUCAGAGUCAAAAUCUUUGGUAGAUCUGGAGUCACAUAUGCAUCAGACCGGAGACUCAAUAUGUUCAUGCAGAUGUUCCUCCAGUUUGUUCCUCAUUCCACCUGCUGAAUUCUACACGCUGUGCAACUACUUUUACAGAGCUGAACGACAGACAGACUAAUCUGUGGAACAUCAGAAUGUUGCAGUUCCUUUCUAGCUUUGUUUGUUGCACACAAUUGGCA